CGUGUUGUCCGGGAAGGAGGGGUCCACCGCCGUCUUCCUGGUGAGCAGCUCGAGUAGCACCACGCCGUAGCUGUACACGUCCGACUCCAUGCUGCUCUUGGUGGAAAACGCCAAUUCUGCAAGGCAGCGCACGGUCGUUACUCGUUAGGUACGUACUGGUGUGUAAUCUGAAGACCAGAUUUCAUAGUUUCAACUUGACAAGUUCACCAAACCUUAUAAUCUACGACAAUAUCUGAUAAACUGAACUUUCAGAAUCAAAAUACUGAAUAACCACUAAUUAAUACAGAUUUUGUUACUCUAGAGCAAAUCUGUGCAUGCAAGAUGACUGAAAAUCCUACAAGAUCAGCUUAUUUCAGUCCCAUCGACUAAAUAGAAAAGUUCUAGUUAUUUCCAUGUGCAAAGGGAUUAAUUGUUUGUAAGCUUAUCCAAGGCGCUCUGUGUUCUAGUAAAAACUCUGAGAUACAGCUGCCAGCUGGUAAUAUGUAUGAUCGCACUGAGAUUUUGGGUACAUAAAGAUUUCAACAAAUUGCAUCAGACUAUGACACAUUUUACAAUCCUAAUUUUCCAAUCAAACAUACAUGUUAAUGAGGAAAAAGAAACUGUUAUGCAUCAUUCUUUGUUUCAAGUUUCAACCAUACCUGGUGCCAUAUAUCCAACAGUGCCAACGAUUCCAGUAGUCUGUGGAGCAGAAGGCUGAUCCAUGAGCUUUGCAAUGCCAAAAUCUGAUAUGUGUGGCACCAUGUCCUUGUCUAGCAAUAUAUUACUUGGCUUGAUAUCACGGUGAAUGAUUGCAGGUCGGCAGUCAUUGUGAAGAUACGCCAACCCAUGGGCGGUACCGAGUGCUAUUUCAUACCUCACACACCAGUCCAAAACUGGGGCUGGCUGAAUCACGUGCAAAACAUCAUGAAGGCUGCCUUUAUCCAUAUAAUCAUAUAGUAUGAACCCAUCAUCACUCCUCAACCAAAACUCUUUUAGCUUUACCAAGUUUCUAUGCUUAAUUUUAUAUAUUGUCUUCAGUUCUCUCAUCAUGCUUUUGUAUGAACCUUUAUGUGCAGAAAUCACAAGCUUCUUUAUAGCAUACACUUCUCCUGACCUCAGUGUAGCCUUGUAAACAGUUCCAUGAGCACCAGUGCCGAUAAUAUACUUGUCAUCAAAAUUUUCAGUCGCCUCUAUAACCUCAUUUAAUUUAG
rnacentral:lncRNA from 1 species